rnacentral:rRNA from 1 species
AACGUAGGAGACGAGCGUUAUCCGGAUUUACUGGGCGUAAAGCGUGUGCAGGCGGUUCGGCAAGUUGGAUGUGAAAUCUCCCGGCUCAACUGGGAGGCGUCGUUCAAUACUACCGGACUUGAGGGCAUCAGAGGAAGGUGGAAUUCCCGGUGUAGUGGUGAAAUGCGUAGAUAUCGGGAGGAACACCAGUGGCGAAGGCGGCCUUCUGGGAUGCAUCUGACGCUCAGACACGAAAGCUAGGGGAGCGAACGGG